AGAGUUUGAUCCUGGCUCAGGACGAACGCUGGCGGCGCGCCUAACACAUGCAAGUCGAACGAGCGAGACAGAGCUUGCUUUCUCGAGCGAGUGGCGAACGGGUGAGUGACGCGUGAGGAACCUGCCUCAGAGGAGGGGGACAACCGUUCGGAAACGACUGCUAAUACCGCAUAAGCCCACGGGUCGGCAUCCACCAGAGGGAAAAGGAGCAAUCCGCUUUGAGAUGGCCUCGCGUCCGAUUAGCUAGUUGGUGAGGUAACGGCCCACCAAGGCAACGAUCGGUAGCCGGACUGAGAGGUUGAACGGCCACAUUGGGACUGAGACACGGCCCAGACUCCUACGGGAGGCAGCAGUGGGGAAUAUUGCACAAUGGGGGAAACCCUGAUGCAGCGACGCCGCGUGGAGGAAGAAGGUCUUCGGAUUGUAAACUCCUGUUGUUGGGGAAGAUAAUGACGGUACCCAACAAGGAAGUGACGGCUAACUACGUGCCAGCAGCCGCGGUAAAACGUAGGUCACAAGCGUUGUCCGGAAUUACUGGGUGUAAAGGGAGCGCAGGCGGGACGACAAGUUGGAAGUGAAAUCUAUGGGCUCAACCCAUAAACUGCUUUCAAAACUGUUUUUCUUGAGUACUGCAGAGGUAGGCGGAAUUCCCGGUGUAGCGGUGGAAUGCGUAGAUAUCGGGAGGAACACCAGUGGCGAAGGCGGCCUACUGGGCACCAACUGACGCUGAGGCUCGAAAGUGUGGGUAGCAAACAGGAUUAGAUACCCUGGUAGUCCACACCGUAAACGAUGAUUAUUAGGUGUCGGAGGCUUGACCCCUUCCGUCCCGCACUUUACACAAUAAGUAAUCCACCUGGGGAGUCCGGCCGCAAGGUUGAAACUCAAAGGAAUUGCCGGCGCCCCGCACAAGCAGUGGAGUAUGUGUUUUAAUUAGACGCAACGCGAAGACCCUUACCAAGUCUUGACAUCCCUAUCCAGACAUAGAUAUAUCUAAUCUCUUCGGAGCAAGGAGACAGGCGGUGCAUGGUUGUCGUCAGCUCGUGUCGUGAGAUGUUGGGUUAAGUCCCGCAACGAGCGCAACCCUUCUGGUCAGUUCAUACGCAAGAGGCCUUUGGCCGGACUGCCCUUGACAAAACGGAGGAAGGUGGGGAUGACGUCAAAUCAUCAUGCCCCUUAUGACUUGGGCUACCCACGUAGUACAAUGGCGUUAAACAAAGAGAAGCAAGACCGCGAGGUGGAGCAAAUCUCAGAAACAACGUCCCAGUUCGGACUGCAGUCUGCAACUCGCCUGCACGAAGUCGGAAUUGCUAGUAAUCGUGGAUCAGCAUGCCACGGUGAAUACGUUCCCGGGCCUUGCACUCACCGCCCGUCA
rnacentral:rRNA from 1 species